CAAAGUCCAAAUCGAUGGUUCAAGAAUCGCCAUGGCCGACGGAAGUCCGGAGAGCGUCAACCAAACUCCGCACAAAUUCUUCAACUUUUGCAUCAGGAAAGAAGGAAGAAAUCGUUCUCUCCCUAAUCGCUUCGUGGUUGUCUUCCAUCAGAUACCUCUAAUCUUGAUUGAUCUUUACUUCUUCUGAAAUCGUUCCCAUGGCGUUCUUUAUUUGUCGCAGGGUUUUGAUUUCUUUUCUUGUUUUGCUUCGAAAUCUUUCACCCUUGUUGAACCGAAAAGCUCGUUUCUUUUUUGCUUUUCUUUCCAUGUUUCGAGGCACAGGCGAUUCCCAUGCUUCGGUUUAGCUUACCGAGAUUAAAGAUCUCUUUGAUCGGGCAUUCUUGAGCCCUUGUAUCCUAAUUUUUCAAGCUUUGGGUAUUCUCCUGGCGUCUGGUUGGCCGAGAUUUUGUUAUGCGCUCGUUCGCUUGAACAUUCUUUAGGCGUUGGUUCAAUGGAAAUUGAGAUCAAUCACUUGUCAUGGCUUCUGUUGACCUUUAGUUAGUGUUCCUAUUUGUUGAUGCUGGAUGCUUCCUCGUAAAUCUUGAAGUACUGCUUCGUGGCCUGUAGUCAGCCUUGAAAUCCAAGUCAGAGAUCGGCUAUUUAGAACGAACCCUAGAUAUGGAGGCAAAGUGUCCUGAGUGAUAUAACAUCCGAUUGUUCUUUGUUCAGUUUGCAACUAUACGAAAUAAUGUAUUCUCUCUUUUUAAAGAAACUGAUUAUAUUAAAACCAAAAGAUUUUUUGGUUGACAGUUUUGUAUCGGUUUCAUGAUUCCUUCCCAGAUGGAACCUAGUCAUCGACUUAUUACUAUGUAUGAGAUCAUGCGGCAAUGACUCUUAAUGAUUGUUGUAGUGAUGAAAUAUAUUAUGAAGUUGUAUGUUAAAAAACAUUGUUUCCUGAGUCACCGCAACAUUUGAUGAAUACCGAGUUUCUUUCAUGGAUUACAUUUAUUGUAUUUAAAAGCAUUGUUUUGAUUUAGUUAUAUAGUUUUUUAUGAUCCAGGAUCUCAUAAAAAAAUGCUCCCAUCCUGCCCUUUUUGUCAUAUAAGCGUUCCUUCAGCAGAGUUGGAGAGGCAUGCAAACAAUCAUUUUGUGGAGGAUGAACUUGAAAGCGACAUGGAAUUGGCUAUACAAAUUGCACUAGCACCCCCAAGUCCUGAAUUAAUGCUGCCUUGGAAAGGUCUCUUGCCGAUAAUAAUGGCUGGCAGAAGCUGAUCAAAAGAGGAACCCACACACUGAAAAAGCCCCAAUAUCAGUUAUGUUAUGUUGAUCCUGGGAUUGCCCAUGGAGUGGAGAUGGAGCAGCUCAAGAUUAUCGACAGCAUAUUAGUUGAACUAUAAGAAAUCAGGUAUAUAUAUUUCUGGUGAUCCUCGAAGGAACUCACUUCUACUCUUUGUAUAUUGGUUUACAAAAUAAAUAUGAACAGGGGGGGGGACAUGCAUCACAUGAAGUAACAACUCCUUGAGCUUUACUGUAACGACUACUUUGUACCUAAAUUCCAUUUUUGUUUUUUAGUUUCCUUGGGAACCGUGACGUCAGGGCAACUAUAGCAUUAAACAUCGUGCAAAGUUAAUCAUAACUUGUUGUUUUGAUGGCUCAAUAGCGAGCGGGUCAACUACAUCCCGAGCCUAUAAAAUUCCCAAUCAAAUGAAUUCUUCCGUUCGAUUUGUUAUAGCGGUGGACCCCGCUGUUCGUCCGCUCCCAUUGCCUUAUUAUUACCUAUUUCUUUAAUUUACCACCACGAACGCCGCCCCUCUUGUUUUUGUGCCUUUGCGGCCGAUAAUAAGGGUUCGGCAUCGGCGAACGGUUCUUUGCUCGCCCUUUCUUUGGUUGUAGCUUUUCUUUCCGCUCUCUCUCUCUCUCUCUCUCUCUCUCUCUCUCUCUCUUAGGUUUGAGCGCCUGUUCUCUCCCGGUGACGGCAAGAUGCAUCAACAAUCCUUCACCGUCGACGGCUUCUUCUUGAUCGGUAUUAAUUUAAUCUACCCCCAGUCUCCUCCAUGCCCCCCCUUUGCCCUUCUCUCUGUCCCUCUCCCACCGGCGAUUCGGCUAUUUCGUUCGUCCGUUCCUACUUCUUGAAUGUUUCUUUUAUUUUAUUGAUCGAUUCUUCCGGCAGCGGCGAGAUGCUUCAUGGAUUCGCCAGGCUCGGUGACUUCUUCUUGAACGGUAUCGAUUUAAUUCGACCCCUAAUCCCUGGGAUGAUAUCUUUCUCCCUCCUUUCCCCUUUUCUUGCUUGCUCUCCCUCUCGAUUCAGUUAUGUCGUGAUCUGUUCCAUCUUCUUGGGUUUUAUUGACCGACCGAUCAAUCGAUUGAUGCCAUCUUCUUGUCGUUGGGAAGCAGUGAAGGAAGGGGUGGAUGAGAUGAUCAAGUUGUUGGCCAACGAGCCCUCCGUGGGGCUUUUCUUUGUCGAACAGCACGCCCGAACCUCCAUGCCCUACCUCCUCGGCCUCAAGGUAUGUGUGUCUUCGUCUCCGCCACUAAUUCCUCCAACCAUAAUCUGAAAUUUUCUGGCAUUAGCAAAUUGGAUUUCCUAGAAAACAAUGUUGUUGAAGGACGGGGAAUUGAGCCGGGUUAUUCCUUUCUUGAUGAGGUUUUCUUGAUUCCUACACCUAAAUGUUCAAAAAGGAGUUGUCAUGAUGUGGCUAGACAGAACGAUUACCAUAACAUUAUCGCAAGCUUUAGCUUGCAUGGCGAGGAUGUUUGGCAGUUGAAUCUUUUCGUUUUCAUUGUUCAUCUAUUGCAUUAUAUUUUUUCUCCAAGGUUUGGUGUGUGGUGCAGCUACCUAUCUUGCACUGAAUUCAUCAUUCUUUGAUCUUUGUGUUACUUCCUAGAACACUUUCUACGAGCAACAAAGUCAUAACAUCCUAGCCCAAAAUGAUUUCAGAGAAAGGAAAUUUAUGGAGGAAGACCUUCCAUCAUUGGAAUGGAACAGUAUAUUUAAUGAUGGUUUUUUGGCAUAGGUUGGGGAAAAGAUUCAUGAAGUAACCCUGCAUACGGAGGACAUAGAGGAUUCUAUCUGUUCAGUGAGGUCAAUGACAGAAUACGGCACUCCUAUUGUUGAGGAGAUGGUUAAGGACCUUAAUAAAUCUCUACUUGUCA